UGGGGUGUAGCUCAGUGGUAGAGCACUUGCUUAGCACAUGUGAGGCACUGGGUUCAACCCUCAGCACCACAU
rnacentral:tRNA from 1 species